AUUGAACGCUGGCGGCAUGCCUUACACAUGCAAGUCGAACGGUAACAGGUCUUCGGAUGCUGACGAGUGGCGAACGGGUGAGUAAUACAUCGGAACGUGCCUAGUAGUGGGGGAUAACUAUUCGAAAGAGUGGCUAAUACCGCAUGAGAUCUACGGAUGAAAGCAGGGGAUCGCAAGACCUUGUGCUACUAGAGCGGCCGAUGGCAGAUUAGGUAGUUGGUGGGAUAAAAGCUUACCAAGCCGACGAUCUGUAGCUGGUCUGAGAGGACGAUCAGCCACACGGGGACUGAGAAACGGCCCAGACUCCUACGGGAGGCAGCAGUGGGGAAUUUUGGACAAUGGGCGCAAGCCUGAUCCAGCAAUGCCGCGUGCAGGAUGAAGGCCUUCGGGUUGUAAACUGCUUUUGUACGGAACGAAAAGCCCUGGGUUAAUACCCUGGGGUCAUGACGGUACCGUAAGAAUAAGCACCGGCUAACUACGUGCCAGCCGCCGCCGUAACAC
rnacentral:rRNA from 1 species